rnacentral:misc_RNA from 1 species
AGCAGCCGCGGUAAUUCCAGCUCCAAUAGCGUAUAUUAAGGUUGUUGUGGUUAAAAAGCUCGUAGUAGAACCUUGGGCCUGGCUGGCCGGUCCGCCUCACCGCGUGCACUGGUCCGGCCGGGCCUUUCCCUCUGUGGAACCGCAUGCCCUUCACUGGGUGUGCCGGGGAAACAGGACUUUUACUUUGAAAAAUUAGAGUGCUCCAGGCAGGCCUAUGCUCGAAUACAUUAGCAUGGAAUAAUAGAAUAGGACGUGUGGUUCUAUUUUGUUGGUUUCUAGGACCGCCGUAAUGAUUAAUAGGGACAGUCGGGGGCAUCAGUAUUCAAUUGUCAGAGGUGAAAUUCUUGGAUUUAUUGAAGACUAACUACUGCGAAAGCAUUUGCCAAGGAUGUUUUCAUUUAUCAGGAACGAAAGUUAGGGGAUCGAAGACGAAUCAGAUACCGUCGUAGUCUUAACCAUAAACUAUGCCGACUAGGGAUCGGACGAUGUUAUUUUUUGACUCGUUCGGCACCUUACGGGA